rnacentral:rRNA from 1 species
UACGUAGGGUGCAAGCGUUGUCCGGAAUUAUUGGGCGUAAAGAGCUCGUAGGCGGUUUGUCGCGUCGAAUGUGAAAUCCCGGGGCUCAACCCCGGGUCUGCAUUCGAUACGGGCAGACUAGAGUUCGGUAGGGGAGUCUGGAAUUCCUGGUGUAGCGGUGAAAUUCGUAGAUAUGGGGAGGAACACCGGUGGCGAAGGCGGCCAUCUGGACGGAUACUGACGCUGAGACGCGAAAGCGUGGGGAGCAAACAGG